AUGAAACAAAAGCAAACAAUUCAGACCUACCUCACAGCGACAACGGCGAAGAAAUCUGCUCUGGCGAAAGUUUCGAUGUACAGUUUACAGGUUGACGUAGAGAAGAAAGUUGAAGAGUUGAGGAUGAUAAAGAGUCAAGCAAAAAUCCCAGGGGAAAAUUGUAAAAUAAAAAUUGUUGAAGGAAGGGGAAAAGAGAGUGAAGAUCUAAUUCCGAGGGAAAAAUGGAAAAGGAGCUUUCUGUUUUUUUGGAGUCAUGGUUGCUGUAUGGGCUAG